rnacentral:rRNA from 1 species
UACGAAGGGGGCUAGCGUUGUUCGGAAUCACUGGGCGUAAAGCGCACGUAGGCGGAUCGUUAAGUCGGGGGUGAAAUCCCCAGGCUCAACUUGGGAACUGCAUCCGAUACUGGAUGGCUUGAAUUCGGGAGAGGGAUGCAGAAUUCCAGGUGUAGCGGUGAAAUGCGUAGAUAUCUGGAGGAAUACCGGUGGCGAAGGCGGCAUCCUGGACCGACAUUGACGCUGAGGAGCGAAAGCUAGGGGAGCAAACGGG